GACGAACGCUGGCGGCGUGCCUAAUACAUGCAAGUAGAACGCCGAAGGAGGAGCUUGCUUCUCUGGAUGAGUUGCGAACGGGUGAGUAACGCGUAGGUAACCUGCCUGGUAGCGGGGGAUAACUAUUGGAAACGAUAGCUAAUACCGCAUAAUAGCAGUUGUUGCAUGACAACUGUUUGAAAGGUGCAAUUGCACCACUACCAGAUGGACCUGCGUUGUAUUAGCUAGUUGGUGGGGUAACGGCUCACCAAGGCGACGAUACAUAGCCGACCUGAGAGGGUGAUCGGCCACACUGGGACUGAGACACGGCCCAGACUCCUACGGGAGGCAGCAGUAGGGAAUCUUCGGCAAUGGACGGAAGUCUGACCGAGCAACGCCGCGUGAGUGAAGAAGGUUUUCGGAUCGUAAAGCUCUGUUGUAAGAGAAGAACGAGUGUGAGAGUGGAAAGUUCACACUGUGACGGUAUCUGACCAGAAAGGGACGGCUAACUACGUG
rnacentral:rRNA from 1 species